CACGCCCACGCUGCUGCGGCGGGUGAACAUGCAGGAGGCCGCUACCCACUUGUUGCUGCGAGGGUUGUACUUCUCGAUGGAGUUGAGGCUGGAGCUGCCGUCGUUUCCUCCUACGGCGUACAACCAGCCGUCCAUAGCUACCAAGUCGAUUUGUGCCGGGCAAACCUGCGUAUGUUCAUGGCAGCCACGCCCUCCCAGGAGUUGCUCUUGGGGUUGAACCUUUCCACAGAGUUGAGGCAGCUGGUCCCGUCGUUCCCUCCCGCCACAUACAGCAUACCGUCCAGCACGGCUACCCCAGCGCUGCUGCGACGACUCAGCAUGUUGGCGAUAGGUGUCCACGCGUUGCUCUGUACCAAUCCAUUGGGCGCAUUAACAUCCCUCGCAUACAGCAACGCUUCGCCUUGUGGCAAAAAGAAUAAAAUGUACCUGAGGAUCGUACUUCUCCACCGUUGCAAGAUGUGAGGAGCUGUCGUAGCCACCCACUGCGUACAGGUUGCCAUCUGGAGGGGAAAUGAUGGCUUAAAAACUCUUCAAGAGCAACAUGUUGAUGCCACGUUCCUACCUAGAGUUGCAACACGAACAUAUCUCCUGCGGGUACUCAUGGCCGCAAUGGAUGUCCACGUGCUUGUCAGAGGGUCGAAACGCUCAGCACUGUAGGUAGAGAGAAGAAGAAUAUACUGUAUGACACGAAGCUCCAUCAUAACCCCCGGCAGCAUACAGCAGCCCAUGCAAGACCGCCACGCCUAAACAGCUCCGCCGCGUUCCCAUGGAAACCUCCGGUUGCCAGGAGUUAGUGAUGGGGUCAUACGACUCAACAGUUGCCAGGUCUGAGCAUAGAGUCUGUUCCCGAUGGCUGCCACACCCACCCGGGCCCGCCGAGUGGACAUGGAUGCCACCAUGUGCCAGCGGUCCGUCCUGGUAUCGUAUGCCUCACAGUCUCCAUGAAUGGCAAACAGACUGCCGCCACCUGGAGAUCAACACACGCACGCAUAACAACGUUCAAAUACUCAACAGUUUGUCCGUUUGUAAUUGGAUGUGUUGCUUUGAGUUCAUCUCUGACCGACAGCGAAGAGCACAGGGCUGGCACCCUCGCAGCGCCGUGGCCGCGUCCGGCUGUUACUGAGCACGCCUCUCUGCUCGGGCAUCAGGUGAUACUUCAGCGCCUCGAUCAGCAGGUCCUUGCACUCGGAGUGAUGACGCACCAUCAGCUCCGUGUCCACAUUGCUAAUGAGGAAGUCUCGCCUCAGCAGCGGCAGCCGCACGCACUUCAUCAACUGGCGAGGACAGCAUCAUUUGGGGCAUAUUUGGAGUGAACCCUGAUGUGGAGUUUACAUAUGUCCCUUUUCUUUCAUUAACACCAAGGUCCUUGCAGCCUUUUGUCAAAGAAUAUGGUUUUUUCUGUCUACAGCAGGGGCUCCAGCUUUCAUCAAGAGCUACUUUGACAAAAUUCAGGAAAUACGCAUUGGAACACCUGCACUCACCUGUUUCAGCGGCAGUAGCAUGAACUCCUCCGUCUUGGAGACCUCCACAAAGUGCUGCAGGACGUACUUGUGCGCCGAUUUGAGAAGAUCGCUGCAGGAGUGCGUGUCGGCAAAGCCUCGGAUGCCCAGGCAGUUGGAGGGGUCCAGUUGGCUGAGGAGGAACUUGCAGCAGGCGUCCCGCACCCCGUUGAGCUGCAGCAAGCUCGCCGCCGGAAGCAAUGUCUGAGGAAAGGUGCGGUUACAGGUGGACGUGGGAAAACAGCCAGAAUGUUGAAAAAUCUACCUUACCUGAACAUUACCCUCCCCGACAACUAUCUCUGCCGUGUAGGCGUACUGGACCAGCUGCUCCAACGCCUGGGGGUCGAUAUCGUGUAGCGUCACGUGGGUCUGACGACUCUCUGACAUCUCAUCUACACAACAACACACAAUGACAAUGACAAUGACUGUUAGCAUCCAUUGUGUUCAUAUCUUUAAUUUUUUUUUCAGGAUCAUUUCAAACCCCGGCCGAGUUAUACCAAAGACUAUAAAAAUGGGACCCAUUACCUCCCUGCUUGGCACUCAGCAUCAAGGGUUAAAAUUGGGGGUUGAAUCACCAAAAAUGAUUCCCGGGCGCGGCACUGCUGCUGCCCACUGCUCCCCUCACCUCCCAGGGGGUGAUCAAGGGUGAUGGGUCAAAUGCAGAGAAUAAUUUCGCCACACCUCGUGUGUGUGUGUGACAAUCAUUGGCACUUUAACUUCAACUUAAUGUGGAGAAUAGAGUCUUUGGGGGCAAUUUGGAGGUUGAUGCCUUGCUCAAAGGCACAACAACUCUGCUCUUUGUAAACAGACCAACCAGUUCCAAUUGCCAGAUUGUUUUGGCCUCAGCGGGAUUAUUCUAGUAAUCUUUCGAUUCAUUUAUUUGCUCUUGUUAUCAGAUUAAACAGACUUUAAAGGGGACCUAUUUUUCAGAACUAACCUUUCCUACCUAUUGGUACUUGCUGUUGUGUAUUUGGGGUCUGCAUAAGUCCUGAACAUUUUAAAUCAAACCAUAGAAGCAAGGCGGAGAAAUUGAUAAAACAAUCUUGCCUUCCUUCAUACUUCUUCCAAACAGGCUAUUUGGAAUUUGCCCUAUUUGUGACAUAUUUCCCAUUUGUGAUGUCAGGAGAUAUCUCCAUAUAUGGUAAAGUUUUACUCGAAGAGC